ensembl:lncRNA
CCCAGAUGAAAGGUCAAACACACCCCAGAUGAAAGGUCAAACACACCCCAGAUGAAAGGUCAAGCACACCCCAGAUGAAAGGUCAAGCACACCCCAGAUGAAAGGUCAAGCACACCCCAGAUGAAAGGUCAAGCACACCCCAGAUGAAAGGUCAAGCACACCCCAGAUGAAAAGUCAAGCACACCCCAGAUGAAAGGUCAAGCACACCCCAGAUGAAAGGUCAAGCACACCCCAGAUGAAAUGUCAAGCACACCCCAGAUGAAAGGUGAAACACCCCAGAUGAAAGGUCAAACACACCCCAGAUGAAAGGUCAAACACCCCAGAUGAAAGGUCAAACACACCCCAGAUGAAAGGUCAAACACACCCCAGAUGAAAGGUCAAGCACACCCCAGAUGAAAGGUCAAACACACCACAGAUGAAAGGUCAAGCACACCCCAGAUGUAUCUCCAUAAAUGUACGUUUCCUAUGCCCAUGUAGGCUGUAAGGUUUGCUUCUAAC